rnacentral:rRNA from 1 species
UACGGGGGGGGCAAGCGUUGUUCGGAAUUACUGGGCGUAAAGGGCUCGUAGGUGGCCAACUAAGUCAUACGUGAAAUCCCUCGGCUUAACCGGGGAACUGCGUCUGAUACUGGAUGGCUUGAGAUUGGGAGAGGGAUGCGGAAUUCCAGGUGUAGCGGUGAAAUGCGUAGAUAUCAGGAGGAACACCGGUGGCGAAGGCGGCUAUCUGGACAGAAACUGACGCUGAGGCGCGAAAGCUAGGGGAGCAAACAGG